CACGGGGGGAGCAAGCGUUGUUCGGAACCACUGGGCGUAAAGGGCGUGUAGGCGGUCAAGUAAGUGGGAUGUGAAAUCCCUCGGCUCACCCGAGGACCUGCAUCCCAAACUGCUUGGCUUGAGUAUGGGAGAGGAUGAGGGAAUUCCUGGUGUAGCGGUGAAAUGCGUAGAUAUCAGGAGGAACACCGGUGGCGAAGGCGCUCAUCUGGCCCAAUACUGACGCUGAGGCGCGAAAGCUAGGGGAGCAAACGGG
rnacentral:rRNA from 1 species